UACGUAGGUGGCAAGCGUUGUCCGGAAUCACUGGGCGUAAAGCGCGCGCAGGCGGCGAUCUACGUCUGGGGUGAAAGCCCGGAGCUCAACUCCGGGACUGCCUUGGAUACGGGAUCGCUUGAGGAUUGGAGAGGCAAGGGGAAUUCCACGUGUAGCGGUGAAAUGCGUAGAUAUCGUUUGGAACGCCGAUGGUGAAAACAGGUCGCUGGGGCUGUGCUGACGCUGAGACACGAAAGCCAGGGGAGCGAACGGG
rnacentral:rRNA from 1 species